UGUUCUGCUUAUGCUCAACUUUGGUCAUUGACUCAUUGUUCGAAAACGCUCUGCUGUCUCGUUGUUUCCUGUGAUUGGAUAAAGUUAGUUCAUUUUUAAUGAACAUUACAGCCAGUGAUUAGUCCUGGUGAAGUCCAUGCUUCUUCAUUGCAGUCCAAUGUGCAUAUGAAUUUGUUACGACCAACUGGCGAAAGGUGUUCCUCUUGCAGGCUCACUACCUGUACCGAGUGUACUGGUUGUAUCUUUUGUCACAUGCAGAAACACUAAAGAACACUUUAAAGAUUAACAGCCGAGUCUGGUGAAUCUGAGCUUCUUUGUUGCAUACCAGUCUGUUCAUGGAUUUAUUGCAGCCAGCUGUGUGAAAGAUGAAUCUUGAAGCUAGCAGAUUUGGAAAACAUACUGUCCAGCACAUCCAGAUUUCAGAAGCUGAAUAACAUUUAACAUGUACAACAUUCUUUAAGGUGAAAUUGUUGAUUAAAUUUAUACAAAUUUGGAUCAUGGCAUUUGUGAUGUUAGAUUGCAGGGACCUUUUAAAAUGUGGAACUUCACUGUAGCCAUCUGCUUGCUUUCAUCCAAUUGUGCAGACCUGUGCUGUCAUUUAUAUAUUCAAACUUUAUAAUCCAUUCCCUAUAACUACAUUUGAAAACUUAACAUCAUACAAAUUAUAUACCUUUA